rnacentral:lncRNA from 1 species
UUGCUGCUUCUGUCUGUCCGCGCCUUCUCUCUGUUCGAGUCUAUAUCCUCUCACGUCUGACUGCUCUCUGCCCUCCUGCUCCGUGCCUGCCCUCUGUCGUCAGUCUCUCUGCUUCUCUUCUAUUCUUGGCUGCACCUAUCCCCCUGUUAUUCUCUUUCCUCCGCACAGUUUUUUCUGUCUUCUCUCUUCCCCUCUACACAGUUUUUCUGUCUUCUCUCCUCCCCUCCGUCUGCCGCGCCUCCUGGCCUCCCUCUUAUUCUUCUUUCAUUUUUUUAUUCCUUCUUUUCUUUUUCUUGUCUGCCAUUCUCUUUUCUUUAUUCCUCCACCAUUCCAUUCUUCCCACUUAUUCUUUUAUAUUUCUUUUCUGCUUGCUGUCAGUCUCCCUUUCCGUCCCAUUAGUCUCCACUCCCUCUUUCUUUUAUUAUUUAUCCUAAAAGAAAUUUAACUGCACAUUAACACAAGGUAAAAUAAAAUGCCACAAUUUUAACACAAAAACAUCACAAAGACUUUAGAAAUGAAUGGUAUAAAUGCAUGAAAUAUAUGACUGAUCAGAAACUUUUGAGAAUUGUGGUUGCCCUUCAUUGAUGAAGCUCUUAUUGGCACCAUAAAUUGGUUUUGCUUCACACUGUCUUGAUCAAGAGUGUGUGAAGUUUUUGAGAAUUGUGGUUGAACUCCUUUGAUGAAGCUCUGGUUGGCACCAUAAAUUGGUUUUGCUUCACACUGUCUUGAUCAAGAGUGAGUGAAGCUUCCUACGAGUUGUAAUGUUUGCAUUGUUACAGAGGGGAAAUGUUUGAAGCAGAUGCAAGAGGGCUGAAUAGCUUGAUCUUCGUAUGCCA